AGAUUUCAUUUUAUCACCAACCACUUUCUCUGAAACCAUCACAUCUGAAGCUGUCGUAUUUGGAAUCAAACCAUAUGUCCUCUAUCUGUCCAUCUUCAUCCCACUGAGUGCAGCACUAAUAGUGAUUAUUGCUCUGCUCCUUCACAAGAGACGAGUGAAGAGAAGCACCAUCAACUCAGAUUCAGCCAGUGGUCACCACGCUCUGAGGACUGUUACAGGAAGUGGUGAGGAUGAAAGAGACUAUGAAAAUGAUCCACAUGGAAACGCCAGAACAACAGUCCCAAUCUACCAGAGCCUGAACCCCAACACGAAC